GGCGGGUGGCGGCCAAGAUAAAAGAACGAAUCAUUUCAUAAACUGAUUCGAUUCAGUUCGUUCACUAAAAAGAUUCGUUCUUCUGAACGAAACAGCACUACGGGGACAAUCAGCAAACUCCACACAGAGGAGGCCGGAAUUGACCCACUCAGAUCCCUCGACCUAAACGGGAUGUGAAAGCCGUAGUUGUACCCUGGUGGUACACUCGCUUUGCAGCCAUCAACUUGGGAAAUGGUGCAUACAUCUGUUGCAUUGGUAUACAGCCAAAAUACUAAAUUAUAUAUAUAUAUAUAGUAUAUUGCUCAACUUACCCCAUGGCUACCAUGUGAGUACAAAUGGUUGUUUGUUUAUAUGUGCCCUGCCAUUGGCUGGCGACCAGUUCAGGGUGUACCCCGCCUCUCACCCAGAGUCAGCAGUGAGGACAAGCAGUACGGAAAAUGAAUGAAUACACCCUACAGCUAAUAUGGUGCACCUUUAUGCUAGCUUUAGCACCCAAUUUGGCACCUCAUAGAUAUCCUAACAGAUGUUUAAAACAAACAAAUGUUAAACAAUGUACUUUGGUCUUUACACAAUCAUCACGAACCUUAUGAUGAUUGUGAAUUUACACUUUUACCUUUUACUUUGGGUGAAAAUAAUUUGGGGGACAUAAUGUAAAAAAAACUUCUCCCAUGUGAAUUUUACCUUCAAAGAUGGCAUGGACUCCUAUCUAAAUAUUUAGUCACAUGCAAAAAAAAAUUAUAUCGUUGAUAAGCAACAAGGGGUUGUCAACUUAACCCCCUGGCUCAUCUUACCCCACCCUCUCCUACAGCUCUGUCGCACUCGUCUAUUGUGGGAUGAACCCAUCACUAUCACUGUUUUCAAUUAUGAAGUCCUCUAAGUGACUUUGUUUCCUCCUUUUUCUGGUUAGAUACCGCUUACUCUCGGGCUCACAACCUGUCACUGCACCUUGACUCUCACUGUGCGCACUUGGCUCUUGAACAUCUUCUGUUUGCUAAUUGACUUCCUGCAUGGUCACACUAGUCCUAGGGUGUCUCAUAUCGUCAUACCUAUUGGGUCUAUCUCACCUUUCUGUGCAUGUUUUUCUGCAGCUGCCUUGCUCAUAAAUGUUACUAGUCUGUGUUUUUGUACUUUGUGUCUGGAUCCAUCCAUCCAUUUUAUACUGCUUAUCCGAGGUCGGGUCGCGGGGGCAGUAGCUUUAGCAGGGACGGCCAGACUUCCCUCUCCCCAGCCAUUUCAUCCAGGUCUUCCGGAGGGAUCCCUAGGCGUUCCCAGGCCAGCCGAACGACGUAGUCUCUCAAGCGUGUCCUUGGUCGUCCCCGGGGUCUCCUCCCGGUGCCACAUGCCCGGAACGCCUCACCAGGGAGGCACCCGGGAGGCAGAUGCCCCAGCCACCUCAUCUGGCUCCUCUCGAUGUGGAGGAGCAGCGGCUCUACUCUUGAGAUCCUCCCGGAUGACCGAGCUUCUCACCCUAUCUCUAAGGGAGAGCCCGGACACCCUGCGGAGGAAACUCAUUUCGGCCACUUGUAUCCGGGAUCUUGUUCUUUCGGUCACGACCCACAGCUCGUGACCAUAGACGCUGCACCGAUCCGCCUGUCAAUCUCCCGUUCCAUUCUUCCCUCACUUGUGAACAAGACCCCAAGAUACUUGAACUCCUCCACUAGGGGCAGGAUCUCAUCCCUGACCUGGAGAGGGCACGCCACCGUUUUCCAACUGAGGAUUUGGAGGUGCUGAUUCUCAUCCCAGCCGCUUCACACUCGGCUGCGAACUGCUUCAGUGAAAGUUGGAGAUCACGGCUUGAUGAAGCCAACAGAACCAUGCCUGAAUAGACCUUACCAGGGACGCUUGAGGAGUGUGAUCCACCUGUAGUUGGAACACACCCUCCGGUCCCCCUUCUUAAAAAGGGUAGAAACCACCCCAGUCUGCCAAUCCAGAGGCACUGUCCCCGAUGUCCACGCAAUGUUGCAGAGCCGUGUCAACCUGGACAGCCCCACAACAUCCAAAUCCUUUAGGAACUUCGGGCUCUCAUCCACCCCCGGGGCCUUGCCACCAAGGAGCUUUUUAACCACCUCGGUGACCUCAACCCCAGAGUUUGGAGAGCCCGCCUCAGAGAACCCAGACUCUGCUUCCUCAUGGGAAGGUGUGUCGGUGGAAUUGAGGAGGUCUUCGAAUGGAUGAUAGACAAAAUAUGCCGGGCUUUUUUUUAAUCAUACCCUACAAAACGUUCCUGGUCACACCUGGAAUCCAGUUUCACCUUGUCCCAUUUGCACGUGUACCGUACAGACCCAAGUUUAUGCAAUCUGGACACAUUUGGCUUCUUGUCUGUCAGCAGCUGGUAAGUACAGGGAUAUCCUGGACGAAAACCUUCUCCAGAGUGCGCAGGACCUCAGACUGGGCCGAAGGUUCACCUUCCAACAAGACAAUGACCCUAAGCACACAGCUAAAAUAACGAAGGAGUGGCUUCAGAACAACUCUGUGACUGUUCUUGAAUGGCUAGGCCAGAGGCCUGACCUAAACCCAAUUGAGCAUCUCUGGAGAGACCUGAAAAUGGCUGUGCACCAACAUUCACCAUCCAACCUGAAAGAACUGCAGAGGAUCUCCAAAUCCAGGUGUGAAAAACUUGCAUCAUUCCCAAAAAGACUCUUGACUGUGUUAGCUCAGAAGCGUGCUUCUCCUAAAUAAUGAGCAAAGGGUCUGAAUACUUAUGGCUGUGUGACAUUUCAGUUUUUGUUUUUUAAUAAAUCUGCAAAAAUUUCAACAAUUCUGUUUUUUUCUGUCAAUAUGGGGUGCUCUGUGUACUUUCAUGAGGAAAAAAAUGAAGUUAAAUGAUUUUAGCAAAUGGCUGCAAUAUAACAAAGAGUGAAAAAUCAAAGGGCGUCUGAAUACUUUCCGUACCGACUGUAUAUUCUGUCCCGUUGUCAGAUCUGAUGCACCCCAACUUCCUGUAAGGCAGGGGUGUCAAACUCAUUUUUGUCGCGGGCCACAUCGCAGUUAUGGCUUCAAACCCAUAUGAUUGCCUCAUAUUAUUACAUAUACACAAAUUAAUGGAUAAUUACUUUUGAAAUCAGAAGCCAGUAAAAACAGUUUGCUCAACUACAGUAUGAAUCAAUUUUAUUUUAAAAGGGGGGUUGGUAACAAAAAUGCUGGCAAUAUCGAAAUAUUUUUAAAAGUGAAACCAAUUUGCAAUUUUGGUAUUUUAGCAAGAAAGACAAAGUCGAUGCACACUCUCGCGGGCCACAUGAAAUGACAUGGCGGGCCGGAUCUGGCCCUCGGGCCACCAGUUUGACACCUGUGCCGUAAGGGGAUGUCUUCGUAAGAGGAUAUAUCUGUGAGAACUUUUCGGUAGCUUGUAAUGUGUUGCUUUUCUUUUUCAAGAAAUAUACAAACACUGCACUUCAGUAAUAGUCAGUGAAUGACAACACAUAUUUGUAGCGAUUAUAGGUCAAAUUGUAAUCAAUUUAGGAUGAAGUAAUAAGCCUGGAGCGACGUUUGCGUUACUUCCGGUUUAUCGUAAUUUUGAUUUAAUUGUUAAAAUCAAACUAAUGUCUCAAAAAGGGCACCACGUCAAUCUUUUCAAGUUUAACUUUAGGCGAAAUGACGACAAACUUUUUUUAAUCAGUCUCAUAAUCUGGAGGUUGCUACACUCUACGACCUUUUGAGUCCUAGGUUACAGCGGUUUAUUUAAAUUCAGAACACACACAAAAUACGACCACGAGUGGAAUUUUAUGGUAUAUUUAAUGAAACACGCAACUACAAACUACAACAAACAAAUAACCCCAAGGGUAAACAAAAGAGGGAAAAUAAGGCGUACGAAAAUGGAAAAGAGGACAUUGUGUGUGGUCGCUGGGCUAAAUUAAAUGAGCGUGUGAGCGUUUAAUGCAUUGAGUCAGAGCGAGAGAAGGCAAAGUUGGGAUUUCGUAUGAACAUAGUAUUUUCCCCACAAUUAUUACGCACUGUUGUUGCACAUCAUAGUAAGGAUUGCAGUGUCGACUCACGAACGCAGAUCAGCUGGUCUUUGGGGGUGGUCUUCCUCCGGACCUCAGGCGGAAACGAGGCAGGUUCGGUUGAAGAAAAACCAGAUGCACAAAAAGAAAUAGGAAAGGAAAGUUGUUGUCCCGUGUGGGAUGGGCUCAUAGGUUCCCUGCCGGUUGACCUGGUGGCGGGCCAAUCUCUGGCCCUCAGAGGCGUGCGGGACCGCCGGUACGGCAUCCCUGCAGUUGCUCGCUGAGGCCCCGCCGACCGAUCGUGGCUAGGGAAAGCGAUCGGAGCCGCAUGGUCGACUUCUUCGAUCGAAAACGCCGCCGGCAUGGUUGUGGCGGGCGUUCGCGCACGUGGUGGCUCCCGGAGGCGCAGAGGACAAAAAGAACAAAAUAAGGGGCAGGGGUGGCCGGAGGCCACCCAGCUGGCGAGCUGCCAGCAAAGGUAUGAGGAGAAGGAAAACCCAAACUAGCCUCAACUCAACUCCUGAGAAAGGUGUGAGUUUAGAGUUAAAUACCCUAGGGGCGGGGCGUAGGAAGAGGGACUGCCGACUUGGAGAAGACUACGCCCACCAGCCAGAAUCUUGUCUACAAAUUUGAGUAAAUGGGUUUUAAAAUAAUAUUAAUCUAAAACACUCCCAACUUUGUAGUCUCACACAUAGGAUCAUUGUUUAAACUUUGGUUGUGGCAGAUCGGUUGCUUAUUGUUCAAUACAACAUUUCGUACUGUUUGAUUUCAAAUCAUGAACAAUUUUCAAAAUCCUGCAAAGGACCUGUCAAAGUGACAAUGGGGACACAGACACCAAGGCAUACAUUUGGAAUAUUUCUACCGCGUUUGCAAGAUAUAAAAAUGGUAAUUUUAUCUUCCGUUAACAAACAUCAAAGGCAUGUCCACAAGUUCUGGCGCUUGCAGUUCCUCUCAACGCCAGUGGGUGGAGCCUCACGCACAUGGGUGAAUAUUAACCACAUAGUCUUCCCCAACCAUUUGGUCCAGGAAGGCGUCUUUUGAAGACAGGAAUCACGAUUUGACGGGAAGCUGCCAAUUAGGUUAAGUUCCACUUGUCGUACACCAGGCCCUGUUCUAGUCGCAGUCUCACAGCAGGGCAGCGUGGAGGAGUGGGGUUCUCAGGUGGUUGAGAGUCUCUGUGGCGCCUCGAUUUGGGGAGCGCAUGUCCGCUACAUACCCAUCUGUCGCGUCUGGGGAUACAGGACCUGCAAGAUCUGUGUGUAAGGGAGCCUCUGCUCUAAUAUGAGGCAGAGGUGUGGACUCGAGUCACAUGACUUGGACUCGAGUCAUGAAUUUGAUGACUUUAGACUCGACAAUAUGUUAAAAGACUUGCAACUCGACUUGGACAAACAGCAAUGAGUCGUGACUUCACUUGAACUUGAGCCCAUUGACUUGAAAAGACUUGCUACUUUGAAAAAGCACUCAGAAACCAACACUUUAUAGCUUUCUUUAUCUAUGGCUGUAUGUGAAACUUACUGUUUUACUACAGGAAAGUUUGAUAAGUGACAACAUAAUGCUGAACGUCUUAAUGAUUAUUUAUUAGGUCAUAGUGUCCCACACAAUUAUUGCCAAUGUGUAGUUGGUUCUUAUUAUAUUUUCACAGUUAACGCUUUGUUGGGCCCACUCUGGUAGAGGAAUUGACCAAGAGGUAAUUGACACAGUACCUAAAGUAUUGGUUUGCAAAAGAAAAACAUAAAUCUACAAAUCCAUCCAUCCAUCCAUUUUCUUCACUGCUUAUCCUCACUAGGGUCGCAGGCAUGCUGGAGCCUAUCCCAGCUAUCUUCGUGCGUUGAGGCGGGGUACACACUGAACUGGUCGCCAGCAAAUUGCAGGGCACACAUAAACAAACAACCAUUCGUACUCACAUUCACACCUACGGGCAAUUUAGAGUCUUCAAUUAACCUACCAUGCAUGUUUUUUGGAAUGUGGGAGGAAACCGGAGUAUCCGGUGAAAACCCACGCAGGCACGGGGGUAACAUGCAAACUCCACACAGACGGGGCCGGGAUUUGAGUUUUUUUACAUAGUGGCCCCUAGUGUUCUGACUGAGAUACCACAGUUGGAUAAAAUUUGUACCUUUAUAACAAAAUGACAAACUUGUGUUCCUCUUUUAAAUUAAUGCCUUAUGUUUUUGAUACUCACAAGAAAUACCAAGUUUAAACUGAAAUCUAUUUAUAUUUGUGUUUGAAAUUGCCUCACUGACAAGAAAAUGCAGGUUCCUGCUAUUUGCACAAUGUGAAUUUAAGAAAAAUACUGUUGGUUAUCUAAGAGAUAAACAAGGAAACCAAUAGGUCAUUCAUUAUUAAGUGAUAUGUCUUAUUUUCUCUUGUAUGUUCAUAAUUGCUCUUUACCAAAGCAAAAAUAUAUUUUAUCCUUAUACUUGAUUAUUCCGAUGGAAUUGUCAGUACAAUACUCAAUUACUAAUUGCAGCACUACUGGAUGCAAAUUUUUAUUUGUGACAGGUCUGUUUAAUGUCACUUCGGGCAAUUUUAUUGUCUAGCUGUGAUUAUGCAUUACUAAUAAAAAAGAGCGUAAUCGUUACACAUGCCCAAGUAAUUAUUUGUUCAAAUUGGUCGCUUAAUUACAGCGUAAGCAGCGGUAACAACCGCAGCGCGGGGGAUGAGGGGUACUAAUUUGAGAAUCCCUGACUAAUUUGAAAUUUCGGCUGGACACAUUUCUGUUCCUUGUUGUAAAGUUGGCUUUACACAAUGCAGCCCUACGGGGGGGCACAAGUCAGUGCAAACUGUAGGCCGGUCCCAAGCCCGGAUAAAUGCAGAGGGUUGCGUCAGGAAGGGCAUCCGGCUUAAAACCUUGCCAAACAAAUAUGAGCGUUCAUCCAAAGAAUUCCAUACCGGAUCGGUCGUGGCCCGGGUUAACAACGUCCGCCACCGGCGCCGUCAACCUGCAGGGCGCUGUUGGAAAUUCAGCUACUGUGGGUCGAAGUCGAAGUCAAAGAAGAAGAAGAAGAAGAGGUGGAAAGCGGGUUCUUCGGCAGAAAGAGAAGAGGAAAACACAGAGCCUAGAACUGAAUGUGGGGACUUUGAAUGUUGGGACUAUGACAGGAAAAUCUCGGGAGUUGGUUGACAUGAUGAUUAGGAGACCUGAUCUCAAUAAGAAUGACCGGCGCCUCUUUUUGAAGGCGAGACAUCUAAAAUUGUCCAUUAUACUAAUGCAAGCUAAGCAAAUAAAUGAUAACUUCUACAAUUUAUCUAACAUUUCCCUCCUGUUUAUCAUGUAUUUGCACAAAUUCUCAUAUCAUCUUACAGUCACUUCAUUUCGAUUUUUAACUGUAGAAUCAUUUUUAUGAAACAAAUACAUUUACACUCAGAGUAAACUUGUCAUAUAUGAAUGUUGUAGUUUAAACAUUGUAAUCAUCUGUAUCAGGUAACAAAUCAGGUAAAGCAAAAUCAUCAUUAUCAUCAUAAUCAUCAUUAUCAUCAUACAGUAUACAUCAGCUCCAUACGAUUUCUCCAUCGGGGUUAUGGCUGUGGUGAUUAAUUUACUGAUUAAUGCCAGAAUGCAUGGGAUACAACAACAUCCACAUAAUGUCAGAAUGGCUGCAAAAACAGCAAUUGAUAUCAAUAUUGGUGUAAUUAGGGUUUUAUAUUUACCAAAAACGUCCAUUCGAGCUGUCCCACAAGGAGUGUUGAUUGAGGGUCCGUAGACCAUCGAUGGCUCUGGUCAAGCUGCCAUCUGAAGCAGUAUUGUUUGUUCUCCAAACAUACCGCAAACACCUCCCUCUCUUGCGAGGAGCAUGUCGACAGCUAUGCGGUCUUUGGAACGUCCUUGAGCUGCUCGUGCACAGCUUUCAACCCACUCUGAGUCCAAUUUCCUAAUCUCUGUACAUUGAAGUGGAUGUAGUUUAUCCCAUCAACAUUUUUAUUAAUCGUACACCACCAGCAUAUGAAAGACUCAAAUCCUCCUGCAACCUGGUCACCCAAUUUGUAUUGAUUAGGAACCCCCACGAGGAACACCUGGCGUCGAUGUAUGUUGGAUUAUUUUGCCCCUGCCAUGACAAAUCUCUUUUUUUUGUAUAUGUUCUAGAUUGGACAAAAACAUUGGUGCCCUUUCCAUUAAAUCUUGAACAGGCAUAGGGUAUACUGACACAUGCAAUAUCAAAGUGAUAAUAGCGCAUAAUCUAGAUAUAUUUUUAGGUAAUCUAUCAAACAGUCUAUCAUC